rnacentral:rRNA from 1 species
UGGGAUGACGUCAAGUCCUCAUGGCCUUUAUGCCCAGGGCUACACACGUGCUACAAUGGGUGGUACAAAGAGAUGCAAUCUCGCAAGAGCAAGCAAACCUCAAAAAGCCAUCCUCAGUUCGGAUUGGAGUCUGCAACUCGACUCCAUGAAGUCGGAAUCGCUAGUAAUCGCGGAUCAGCACGCCGCGGUCGAAUACGUUCCCGGGCCUU